GGACGAUUUUGUCCAGGCAGGUGACUUUCUCAAGUUUCACAAACGCAUGAUGUAAUCCUAUAAGAUUGCAAGUAGUUCCAUUGUUUGAAACUAUGAAAGAUAUGUGAGGGGCUCGUUCAGUGAAUUGCAAGUAUUUCCAUUGUUUGAAACUAUGAAAGAUAUGUGAGGGGCUCGUUCAGUGAAUUGCAAGUAGUUCCAUUGUUUGAAACUAUGAAAGAUAUAUGAGGGGCUCGUUCAAUGAUUGGAAAAGUGUUAUCAAUUGAUUGGUAUCGGCUAGAAUCAUGAAGGAAAAAUCAUCAAGGUUGGCGGCUGUGGUACAUCGUCAAUGGCUCCUAUGUAUUAGUAGUAUUUUUUUAAUCUUUGUACGAUGUUUCCCUGUAUUAGUAGUUUAUUAUUUGUCUAUAUUUUAAUCAGUACUUACAAUGUGUUUAUGUAUUUAGAAAUAA